ACUAACGAAUUUUCAGAGUAGAUUUAGUAUUUGUCAUGUUUCAUGUUGCUUUGUUGUGUUUUCUGUGAUGUAAUCUGCAGGUUCACGUCUGAGCACAACUCCGGUGGCACAAAUUCAAUGUUGUGGACAAUUGCAGAUGAAGAGAAUGUGACACCUCUUUGAUCAGAAGAGCAACAGAUACUUUGAGAACAUCAGGAGGGAAUCUCAGUUGUCAGAAGACAAAGUGGAAGAGGAUCGGAGGGCCAAAGCUCUCAACAAUCGAAGACAUACUUUUCAAAUCACGCCGAUCUGCUGCUCGCUCAUCUUAACCAAUGAGGAGUACAGAUACCUGCAACGGGCGCCUGCAUGCAUGAUGAGCGACGAGGAGACGGACACUGAAGACAAAGACAUGUGGAAAGCACAUCCACCUGAAUGGAGGGCAACAAGACUCACGGACAUGUUUGAAAGGUGUCAGCACCACCUCGUUGACCUACAAAAGAUGUCCUCCAGGAUGGUGCACCGGAGAGUGCCCAGUGGUAGCCAGAGGCAGCCGCUGAGAGGAAUCAGAUUCAUUUAUUUGAAAUAAAACUGUGUGCUUUAAUUAAGAAAAAAAGAAAAACAUUGGUCUGUUUUUCAUGUCUGACAUGUUUUCAUUCAGCUAUGCUGUUAUGUAGAUGCACCUGAUUUAAUAUACUGCUUCAUUCUAUUCUGUUCCCACUGUUCAGUUAAUAAUGCUGAUAUUCUUUAUACAGUUUAAUCUGACAAUGUCAUUUUAUAAAUGCUUGCUGAAAUAGUAAUGUGUAAUUUGGUCAAAUGAUUUGUACAACAUGAUGAUGGUACACAAACCAAGAUUAAAGACUGUCACAUUA